rnacentral:lncRNA from 1 species
AGGACGUAAGGAGUCAGGGACAUAAGAACCAAAAAUAAAAGAGAGAUGGGAGACGGGAAGGUGAAGGUGAAGGACAUAAGGAGUCAGGGACAUAAGAAACAGAAAUAAAAGAGAGAUGGGAGACGGGAAGGUGAAGGACAUAAGGAGUCAGGGACAUAAGAUCCAGAAAUAAAAGAGAGAUGGGAGACGGGAAGGUGAAGGAUGUAAGGAGUCAGGGACAUAAGAACCAGAAAUAAAAGAGAGAUGGGAAGUUGAAGGAUGUAAGGAGUCAGGGACAUAAGAACCAGAAAUAAAAGAGAGAUGGGAAGGUGAAGGAUGUAAGGAGUCAGGGACAUAAGAACCAGAAAUAAAAUAGAGAUGUGAGACAGGAAGGUGAAGGAUGUAAGGAGUCAGGGACAUAAGAACCAGAAAUAAAAGAGAGAUGGUAAGGUGAAGGACAUAAGGAGUCAGGGACAUAAGAACCAGAAAUAAAAGAGAGAUGGGAAGGUGAAGAAUGUAAGGAGUCAGGGACAUAAGAACCAGAAAUAAAAGAGAGAUGGGAGACGGGAAGGUGAAGGACAUAAGGAGUCAGGGACAUAAGAACCAGAAAUAAAAGAGAGAUGGGAAG